rnacentral:rRNA from 1 species
CCAGCAGCCGCGGUAAUUCCAGCUCCAAUAGCGUAUAUUAAAGUUGUUGCAGUUAAAAAGCUCGUAGUUGAAAUUCCGGCAGUAAUGCCUGUCUGCAAGAGUAUUGGAUACCGUAACAAGUUUCUGAUACUCGAACAGACUUUUACUAUGAAUAAAUUAGAGUGCUCAAAGCAGGCUUUAGCUUGAAUAGUUUAGCAUGGAAUAAUAAAAGACGACUUCAGUCAUUUUAUUGGUUAUUGACCGAAGUAAUGAUUAACAGGAACAGUAGGGGGCAUUCGUAUUUGAUAGUCAGAGGUGAAAUUCUUAGAUUUAUCAAAGACGAACUAAUGCGAAAGCAUUUGCCAAGAAUGUUUUCAUUAAUCA